rnacentral:rRNA from 1 species
GAUGAACGCUGGCGGCGUGCCUAAUACAUGCAAGUCGAGCGAACAGAUAAGGAGCUUGCUCCUUUGACGUUAGCGGCGGACGGGUGAGUAACACGUAGAUAACCUACCUAUAAGACUGGGAUAACUUCGGGAAACCGGAGCUAAUACCGGAUAACAUAUUGAACCGCAUGGUUCAAUAGUGAAAGGCGGCUUUGCUGUCACUUAUAGAUGGAUCCGCGCCGUAUUAGCUAGUUGGUAAGGUAACGGCUUACCAAGGCAACGAUACGUAGCCGACCUGAGAGGGUGAUCGGCCACACUGGAACUGAGACACGGUCCAGACUCCUACGGGAGGCAGCAGUAGGGAAUCUUCCGCAAUGGGCGAAAGCCUGACGGAGCAACGCCGCGUGAGUGAUGAAGGUCUUCGGAUCGUAAAACUCUGUUAUCAGGGAAGAACAAAUGUGUAAGUAACUGUGCACAUCUUGACGGUACCUGAUCAGAAAGCCACGGCUAACUACGUG